CUUUAGGUUCAUUCUUGUAAGUGUUGCUGGUGUCAGAAUAGGAACCUCCCUGCGCUUUGAAGGGAUGAAUGUGACCUCUCCCACAUUCUCCGGUGCUGUGAUGUACCUUAAACACAGCAAGGACACCUGGCCUGGGUGGAGCCCACUCCUCAGCACCCACCUCACUUCUGGCAGUAUUCUGCAGACCCCAGCCCUGUGCCUGUGCUCCUGCACAGCUGGAGAUAAGGAGUGGGCCCUGGAAGAUGCUCAGUCAGGCCCUGCUCCAGAUUUUA
rnacentral:lncRNA from 1 species